UGCAUUCACUACUGUAAGUCACUCUGGAUAAGAGUGUCUGUUAAAUGUAAGACC
rfam:Salmo salar isolate Sally breed double haploid chromosome ssa01, whole genome shotgun sequence.